GCUAUCGGCCAUACCACGUUGAGUACGCCGGUUCUCGUCCGAUAUCCGAAGCUAAACAACGUUGGGCCCGGGUAGUACUUGGAAGGGAGACCGCCUGGGAACACGGGUGUUGAUAGCA
rnacentral:rRNA from 1 species